rnacentral:lncRNA from 1 species
CGCUAAUACUGUACAAUUUCUAAAAGAUUAGAUUAAAGCUGGUAAAUUAACAGUACACAGGUUGGCCUAGAGGGAGAUAGUUAUCUCAAACUAUCUGAACUGAAGAAAAAAAAUGCAUUUUUCCUUCUGUAAAUGCCCAGUUUUGCCUAAAUUAGGCAGCCCCAGCUACUGACACAAACACAGCGGAGGCAGAGCAUUUUCACUGUGAAAGCACAAGUCUGGAAACUGAAGCAGUGGCGCAAACCUGGGGAUGCAUUUAGCCAGAGCACCAUCGAAAACUAGCCAGGUGCUGAGGACACACGGCCGUGG